UAACUCGUUGCGCAUUAUUUCUGUUGAGGCAGUUUCUUCUUGUCACACUGGCUUUUCGUCUCUUCUUACCGUUGGUUCGCUGCAAUUACUUGUCUUCGUCCAUUCGCCUGACUCGUCAGACUUUCUUUACCAGGAUCAUGGUUGUCACCGUAGAUGUCACCUACUGUGGUGGAUGAGGGUACGCCCCCAAGUAUCGCCAACUUUCGGCGAGCUUGGCUGACGAAUUCGGCGACAAAGUGACUUCCACUGGCACCGCGUCCGCCACCGUUACCGGCGAAUUUGAAGUAACCGUAGCCGGAAAGAAGGUCCACUCCAAGCUGGGCGGUGAUGGCUUUGUCGACAACGAAGACAAGCUGCAGAAGAUCAUCAAGGCCA